rnacentral:rRNA from 1 species
GAAAGGUAACCUUUGGCGGGCAUGCCUAACCAUGCAAGUCGAGCGGACACGAUGGAAGCUUGCUUCCAGGCGCCGUUCGGCGGACGGGUGAGUAACGCAUGGGAAUCUGCCCGAUAGUGGGGGAUAACCUGGGGAAACCCAGGCUAAUACCGCAUACGUCCUACGGGAGAAAGCAGGGGAUCUUCGGACCUUGCGCUAUCGGAUGAGCCCAUGUCGGAUUAGCUUGUUGGUGAGGUAAUGGCUCACCAAGGCGACGAUCCGUAGCUGGUCUGAGAGGAUGAUCAGCCACAUCGGGACUGAGACACGGCCCGAACUCCUACGGGAGGCAGCAGUGGGGAAUAUUGGACAAUGGGCGAAAGCCUGAUCCAGCCAUGCCGCGUGUGUGAAGAAGGCCCUCGGGUUGUAAAGCACUUUCAGUGGGGAAGAAAGCCUUGGGAUUAAUACUCCCGAGGAAGGACAUCACCCACAGAAGAAGCACCGGCUAACUCCGUGCCAGCAGCCGCGGUAAUACGGAGGGUGCGAGCGUUAAUCGGAAUUACUGGGCGUAAAGCGCGCGUAGGCGGUCUGAUAAGCCGGUUGUGAAAGCCCCGGGCUCAACCUGGGAACGGCAUCCGGAACUGUCAGGCUAGAGUGCAGGAGAGGAAGGUAGAAUUCCCGGUGUAGCGGUGAAAUGCGUAGAGAUCGGGAGGAAUACCAGUGGCGAAGGCGGCCUUCUGGACUGACACUGACGCUGAGGUGCGAAAGCGUGGGUAGCAAACAGGAUUAGAUACCCUGGUAGUCCACGCCGUAAACGAUGUCGACUAGCCGUUGGGGUCCUUGAGACCUUUGUGGCGCAGUUAACGCGAUAAGUCGACCGCCUGGGGAGUACGGCCGCGAGGUUAAACUCAAAUGAAUUGACGGGGGCCCGCACAGCGGUGGAGCAUGUGGUUUAAUCGAUGG